UCGAGCGAACAGACGAGGAGCUUGCUCCUCUGACGUUAGCGGCGGACGGGUGAGUAACACGUGGAUAACCUACCUAUAAGACUGGGAUAACUUCGGGAAACCGGAGCUAAUACCGGAUAAUAUAUUGAACCGCAUGGUUCAAUAGUGAAAGACGGUUUUGCUGUCACUUAUAGAUGGAUCCGCGCCGCAUUAGCUAGUUGGUAAGGUAACGGCUUACCAAGGCAACGAUGCGUAGCCGACCUGAGAGGGUGAUCGGCCACACUGGAACUGAGACGCGGUCCAGACUCCUACGGGAGGCAGCAGUAGGGAAUCUUCCGCAAUGGGCGAAAGCCUGACGGAGCAACGCCGCGUGAGUGAUGAAGGUCUUCGGAUUGUAAAACUCUGUUAUUAGGUAAGAACAAAUGUGUAAGUAACUAUGCACGUCUUGACGGUACCUAAUCAGAAAGCCACGGCUAACUACGUGCCAGCAGCCGCGGUAAUACGUAGGUGGCAAGCGUUAUCCGGAAUUAUUGGGCGUAAAGCGCGCGUAGGCGGUUUUUUAAGUCUGAUGUGAAAGCCCACGGCUCAACCGUGGAGGGUCAUUGGAAACUGGAAAACUUGAGUGCAGAAGAGGAAAGUGGAAUUCCAUGUGUAGCGGUGAAAUGCGCAGAGAUAUGGAGGAACACCAGUGGCGAAGGCGACUUUCUGGUC
rnacentral:rRNA from 1 species